rnacentral:tRNA from 1 species
AACCACCUAGUUUAAUUUAAAACCUUCGAUUUGAAAUCGAAUGAUAAGAGUACAGCCCUUAGUGGUUU